CAGUAUUUUAAACUUAUCUGAUAUAUGCAUAUAUACAACCAGUUUAGUUGUGGUUACCGAUGUCUCAUAUUCUGUCACUGUGACCUGAAUAAAGCUUUCCCAUUUCAGCCCUGCCCCGCGUUUCUAGGUCUAGUGCAUUCAUGCGGACAGCGGCAACUGGCAACAAUACUAGGAAAGUGAGAACACAUAUAAACAGGUGAUCACCUGACAAUCCCAUUCCCGCAUCGUACUUGCCCACUCCUCAGAUAUCGCAGACAACAAGAAGCUGUGCAUCAUGAAGAUUACUUUACUUGUGGUGGUGAUUCUCUCUGUUCUUUUGGUUCUGGUGGACACUUCGCCAAGUUUUAGGGCUGGUUCUUUAAACUUGAGAAUGAAGCGAAGCCAAUGCUGUUCCUGCAUACCCUUGGCUCCAGGGAAAAAACAUCUCACUUACGACUGCUGCAGGUGUCCUGAUAAACCCACACCUUGGCCUCGCCCUAAUUUUUAAAUGCCGGCCAUGCAAACAAAAGUGCAGAUGGACCUUAAUACUAAUUCCCGGGAGCUUCCGGCAACUGCAGAUUGAGGGAGAGUCUUGAAGCUAUGAAGCAUCAGCUCAUAAGACGAACUGAGGAAAUGCAGUAUUCCCCGUGUUUAAUGUUGUUGUUUUUGUUAUUUUACUUUAUAGUGUUAUCUGCGGGAAUGAUUGUAUAACCGCAUCAUUUAUUAUAGUUAGUCAUAGUUUUUCCUUUGUUAUUAUCUGUGAUAUAUUUAAACUGAAAUAAAGGCUGCCAGAAAUAAGGAAAUUCUUGCUAAGUCCUAGAUUCCCACGUAAACUUUUUUGUUGUUUUCUUAAACUUUCUAAACCAGCCAACGAACCGCGAGCAGACACCCAUCCACCCAGACUCUGCAUCCACCUGCUUUAAUUUCAGUGU